AUACGGAGGGUGCAAGCGUUAAUCGGAAUUACUGGGCGUAAAGCGUACGUAGGCGGUUAUUUAAGUCAGAUGUGAAAGCCCCGGGCUUAACUUGGGAACUGCAUUUGAAACUGGGUAACUAGAGUUUAGUAGAGGGGAGUGGAAUUUCAGGUGUAGCGGUGAAAUGCGUAGAGAUCUGAAGGAACACCAGUGGCGAAGGCGACUCCCUGGACUAGAACUGACGCUGAGGUACGAAAGCGUGGGUAGCAAACGGGAUUAGAAACCCCGGUAGUCC
rnacentral:rRNA from 1 species